UAAAAUGUAAAGGUAUUAUUACCAAUUUUCAGUUUUUGACAGAAGUACAAUGGUAACAAGAAGCAAAACGGAGAAAAUAAAACAAAAACUAAACACCCACACGAUCUUGACAACACAGUGACAAGCACAACAAACAGAAGCUGCUAUUGGAGGUCUCAGCUAAUCCGCACAACCGCUUGCCACAAAAAGUAGAGCCACAGUUAAUUCGAGAGUCGGAACCCGGUAAUUUUGGCCCUCCCCGAUGAUCCGCUCUUUAUGAUCGGCUCGACCAAUAACAGUUCGAGGUAGACUUCCUAAGUAUCCACCAAACAGAAACAGACACCCACUCAAGAGGCCUAGAACGCCUGCAUCCACAAGAUCGAGCAAUUAUUCGGACGCAUACGGCUCCAAGGAGCGAAGCGCCAAAGACCUGCACAAAAAAUGGGGGUGAGAAGCAGCCGCAGCACCACAGUUAGCCCUCCGGGCCAUCACACGAGUCGGAAGAGACAGCCGCAGCACCACAGUUAGCCCUCCGGGCCAUCACACGAGCCGGAAGAGCACAUCCACAAGAACGCAGAGCGCAGGCGCGCUUAGCUCAAGUGCUGGGAUGACGGGCUCAAGCAUAUGGAAGCACGAGACGCUACUUAACCGAAUGACCCAGCGGAUAAGAGAGUCUCGACAUGGACAGUCUCUGAGAACCAGAGAAACUGACCGACAAGAACGGAUAACAGAUCAGAUCGAAGAAUAAACAGCCGUAAAGAACACCGGAGGAGACUCGAUUAGUUUCUUCGCCAAUGAAACUGGCACGAGCACUAAGGUGGUCCGCCGUGACCAGAGGGAGACAAGCAAGGAGCCCACGAAGUGGUUCCGAACCCAAGCCAUAGACGACUUAUCGUCGGAGGCCUAAACGUCGAGCCACACGCCAAACCGAAGACUGCCGGAUACGCCACACGACGAAGCCAGAUAGUCCUACAAACACGUCGAUGAGGAUGAACCAGACCGCACCUACUGAGCACUAGACAGCCUGAACCGCCCUACGACGAGACACCACGCGUAGGGAAGACUCACACGCCGCUGAACAUCUCCGCCAGGAUAACGGGAAGACAAAAAAGACAGGUAGACGGACAGAUCCCGAGCGUAGAAACCACCGUUCCAGAGCACGCGCCACGAAACGCUGAGAUUUGUUGUAGAUCUAAAGAAUGAAAAUCGACCACCAACAGAUCGCAACCCCAAAAAACCAACCCUAACCACCAACCACGACUACACCUGCCUCGCCUCAUCACCAGAAACUCAAGACCGCCGUCGGCUUCAGGCUAGGUUCCUCCACCGACGAGAAUCUCGAGACACCAGGGACAAACGCAUAUCGGAGGGAGUCAGAGGAGAGUAGCAGGGCAAAGGAGAAAAACGAGAGAUAGAGAGGGAAGGAGCCCUCCGGUAACGCUGCAAGGACCAGCCGCCCCGGAGGCAAACGUAGAUUUAGGUUUUUUUUUUUUUUUUUUUGAGAGAGGAGAGAGAGCGUGUGUUGUUUAUUUUCCAGUUUUUUAUGUCACAUAUUAUCUUUGCUUCUACCUAUUUUGAUGACCAUUUACUAUUAUGGCUUAUGAAUAUUUGUUGCUUUUGCUUUUAUAAAACUUAUGAUAUUAUCUAGGAAUUUAUCGAAAGAGAGUCUCGCCAAUCUUAUGACUCUGCUUCCUGCUUUGCAAGUGUAACUCAUCCCAAAACGAUAUGUAGCAAACCU
rnacentral:lncRNA from 1 species